rnacentral:rRNA from 1 species
UACAGAGGGGGCAAGCGUUGUCCGGAAUCAUUGGGCGUAAAGCGCGUGUAGGCGGUUCGGUAAGUCUGCUGUGAAAGUCCAGGGCUCAACCCUGGGAUGCCGGUGGAUACUGUCGAACUAGAGUACGGAAGAGGCGAGUGGAAUUCCCGGUGUAGCGGUGAAAUGCGCAGAUAUCGGGAGGAACACCAAUUGCGAAGGCAGCUCGCUGGGACGUCACUGACGCUGAGACGCGAAAGCGUGGGGAGCAAACAGG